UACGGGGGGAGCAAGCGUUGUUCGGAAUCACUGGGCGUAAAGGGCGCGUAGGCGGUUCGGUAAGUGAGAUGUGAAAGGCUCCGGCUCACCCGGAGAAAUGCAUCUCAUACUGCUGAGCUGGAGUACAGGAGAGGAAACGAGAAUUCCAGGUGUAGCGGUGAAAUGCGUAGAUAUCUGGAGGAAUACCGGUGGCGAAGGCGCGUUUCUGGCCUGUUACUGACGCUGAUGCGCGAUAGCCAGGGGAG
rnacentral:rRNA from 1 species